GUGAAGGGUUGGAGAAUGGUGGCUGACUCUUGCAGUGGCGAAGCAGGCAGGUGCAGCAAGCCGGCAGGCCUACACGUGGCAGGUGCAGCAAGCCGGCAGGCCUACACGUGGCAGGCCCUGCACAAGACACGCCUGCCUGCCUGUCUCUGCCUGCCGGCCCUGUCCGUGCACCUGGCAGCCUUCCUCCACAGCUCCCUGAUGACUCCCCACUCACCCACCACUGACAGCCUUCUUGCUGACGCUGCUCCAUUCACCCACCACUCUCUUCCACACACACACUUCCUUCCUGUCUCUUUCCUCAGCCUCAAUUUUUGAAGCCCCAGUCUGCCACCUGUCGUUCUGCCCACCAGUCCCCAGUGCACUGGCUGCGUCCCCCUCGCCGUGACCCCUGUGCCACUGAAGACUUGUGUCAGAGCCCCUCUUCACCUCCAACCCCUCCCCCACCCCUCAGAGUGUCAGCAGGGCAGCCUCAGUGUGUUGUGGUGGGCAGCAGCAGCAGCAGCAGCAGCAGCAGCAGCACUCAUCCCUUCAUCCUUGUGGUCACUCUCCCUGUGCUGGCCGUACCACCCCAGGCUGCAGCCCUCCCCACUGACCUCUCACCUUUCCUGGCUGACCUCACCUCUGACCACUGCCAAAUACAACUUUUUCUCCUUGAUAUUCUGUUAUUUUAGUGUGUGUGUGUGUGUGUGUGUGUGUGUGUGUGUGUGUGUGUGUGUGUGUGUGUGUGUGUGUUUGUUUGUUUGUUUGUUUAUUCAGCUUUAUUUUAUUGAACUACUACUACUACUACUACUACUACUACUACUACUACUACUACUACUACUACUACUACUACUACUACUACUACUACUACUACUACUGUUGCAGGCACAGGUGGAGGGGUGCCUCAACAUGCCAGCCACCUACAACAGUGUGGUGGCGCGGACACAGUUAGCGCAGCAGUUUUACGAGCACGCCAGUGAGGGUCACCAGAACGUGCCGCCAGCUUGUUCACAACCAGCAUCUGCAGCAACAAGGCUGGGCAGUAGUGUUGGGCAACUUGGAAGACGUUGUGGCAGCCUUCAGAGCAAGACAUGAUGCAUUCCAGCAAAACUUUGUAAUCUCAGUGGCCGGGAGGAGAAGGUCGCCCUGCUUCACUUUUUUGAAGAGGACCUGAAGCUACUGGCAAGGAUUCCAGUCUUCCCUGAACUCUUGACACAAGAGGAAGAGGAAGAGGAGGAAGCUGAGAAGAAGAGGAGGACAAGCACAGCACAGAAGAAAGAGGAGGAGGAAGAGAAGGAAGAGGAGGAGGAGGAGGAGGAAGAAGAGGAAGAGCAUGAGAAGGAGAAGAGGGCAGGAGGAGAAGAAGAAAAAGAGAAAGUAAGUUGUUGUUUUUGUUGUUGUUGCUGUUGUAAAUAAAAAUUGUUGAUAUUCUCUCUCUCUCUCUCUCUCUCUCUCUCUCUCUCUCUCUCUCUCUCUCUCUCUCUCUCUCUCUCUCUCUCUCUCUCUCUCUCUCUCUCUCUCUGUCUGACAGUGAGUUAAGUGUCACUGCUGGACUGGAUCAGCGCCAAGGACAGCCAAAGUGAUGUCAGACAUUGCCCAACUCUGCUGCAGAGGACUGGCCCAGCUGUGUGUGUGUGUGUGUGUGUGUGUGUGUGUGUGUGUGUGUGUGUGUGUGUGUGUGUGUGUGUGUGUGUGUACACCAGGGUGUCAGGUAUUCACACCCAAUUCUUGCUGCAUAAUUGUGUUUCUGCAGGAUUGAAUCAAGUUUGUAAUCUUGCGUUGUUUAACAAGUUGAGUUCUCAAAUUUUUUUUUAAUCUGGCUCCCCCUCCCCCUGUGUUAGAAUAUUGCAUGUUUCCAAGGCCACAGGGAGGCUUAGACGGGUUCUCAAGUGUUUCCUGUCACUAAUGCAGAAAUGUUGUUAAUCUGUCACUGCAACUGUAAAAACACCCCUGAAAACCUGCGUCACUUCAACUAAAACCUUAUAAAACAAUGUUUCUCCUGUCAGCACUGCAGAAAUGUUGUUAAUCUGUCACUGCAACUGUAAAAACACCCCUGAAAACCUGCGUCACUUCAACUUAAACCUUAUAAAACAAUGUUUUUCCUGCCAGCACUGCAGAAAUGUUGUUAAUCUGUCACUGCAACUGUAAAAACACCCUUGAAAAUCCGCGUCACUUCAACUAAAGCCUUUUAAAAGAAUGUUUUUCCUGUCAGCACUGCAGAAAUGUUGUUAAUCUGUCACUGCAACUGUAAAAACACCCUUGAAAAUCCGCGUCACUUCAACUAAAGCCUUUUAAAAGAAUGUUUUUCCUGUCAGCACUGCAGAAAUGUUGUUAAUCUGUCACUGCAACUGUAAAAACACCCUUGAAAACCCGCGUCACUUCAACUAAAGCCUUUUAAAAGAAUGUUUCUCCUGUCAGUACUGCAGAAAUGUUGUUAAUCUGUCACUGCAACUGUAAAAACACCCUUGAAAACCUGCAUCACUUCAACUACAGCCUUUUAAAAGUAUUUCUCCUGUCAGUAAUGCAAAAAUGUUAAUAUAUCACUGCAACUGUAAAAACACUCUUGAAAACCCACGUCACUUUAACUAGAGCCUUUUAAAACAAUGUUUCUCCUGUCAGUAAUGCAGAAAUGUUGUUAAUCUGUCACUGCAACUGUAAAAACACCCUUGAAAACCUGCAUUAUUUCAGCUACAGCCUUUUAAGAGUGUUUCUCCUGUGAGUAAUGCAGAAAUGUUGAUCUGUCACUGUAACCGUAAAAACACCCUUGAAAACCCACAUCACUUCAACUCCAGCCUUUUAAAAGAAUGUUUCCCCUGUCAGUAAUGCAGAAAUGUUGUUAAUCUGUCACUACAACUGUAAAAACACCCUUGAAAACCCACUUGACUUGAACUAAACACACACACAAACACA